ensembl:lncRNA
GUGAGUGUAUUCUUCUGCUUUCUGACUGACUUUCUUUUGUAGGUAUUAAUUUUGUAGAACAUGUUUCUUCACUUCCCUUAAGUGUUCUCUUGUAGUGCUGCCAGACUUUGAGAGGACCACCAGCAGUCAUCAGAACCAGGUUGGGCCAACUGUGACUUCCACUCAGCCAUUUUACUGGAAUUUGUCCAUGCUUAGGGAGGUGUUGACUAAAUUAGAGAUGGUGCAGGACCAACAAACCACUGAGCUUACUUCAAGUACAGGAGGUCCAGGUGCAGCUUUUGGGUAAUGAAGGUUUACUGCCCCUGCAAGACCUUCCUCAACUGCAUAGUCUGGCGCAAAGGAUGCAACAGAGCCCAGAUUACAAGCAAAAACUGGUGAACUGGUUGGUGCUGAUUGACGGGGCGGAUGUGUGUGACUGCACCUGACGCAUAUUGAACAGGGUGAUUGCUAACUCCCUGGCAAAGAACCUCAACUGGAGGGGUCAAUAGAAAGACUUCACUGGCAACUCUCCAACUUGGAGAGGUCGUGAUUAUGUAUAUCUGUUUGCAUACAGAAUUAGCUGUCCCUCUCAGAUUAUAUGUAAGGGGUAACCCACAGCAAGGUGUGCAUUAUACAAGUUUAAUGCAUAAUGUGGAGGCAAAGAACGACUCGUUCAACUCGUUUAAUGCACACCUAGCCAUGGAUUACCCUGCUUAUACCAUGGUCUUUCCACAAUUA